rnacentral:rRNA from 1 species
ACCUACGGGAGGCAGCAGUAGGGAAUUUUCGUCAAUGGGCGCAAGCCUGAACGAGCAAUGCCGCGUGAACGAGGAAGGUCUUCGGAUCGUAAAGUUCUGUUGAAGGGGAAAAAGAGCGGAGAGAGGAAAUGGUCUCCGAUUGAUAUUACCCUUCGAGGAAGUCACGGCUAACUACGUGUCAGCAGCCGCGGUAAUACGUAGGUGGCGAGCGUUAUCCGGAAUGAUUGGGCGUAAAGGGUGCGUAGGCGGCCUGCUAAGUCUGGAGUGAACGGUACCGGCUCAACCGGUACAGGCUCUGGAAACUG